CCGUGAUAUUAUCUUUUUCCACUUGAAAAAUGAGCGGACGACUACAGAAAAACAAGUUUCCAAAACGUGGCAAUGUCAUAGGUCACUCACGUGGUUUAUCCGUGGCAUUCCAUCUUGCGUUUAGUGGUUUCUGUGAAGUGGGCUCACAUAAAUUGGAGCUGGAAAAGCCCUCUUUGUUGUUUGCAUGAUAUUUUCUGCAUAUUUCCUGUUAUCGUCGUUGUUGACGACGUGAUACAAUCUCUGCAGCAUCUUCAGGGUACAGUGCAGGUUCUAGCACGAAAGUAGCAAAUGAUUGCAGGAGCUCAAAAUGAUCAAGAGGUCCACAGUGCAAGGACUGAAGGGCUUAAAAUGCCAUUCAGAUAGUAGUUAGGGGGCAGAAGAAUUCAUUGACACCUAUGCAUCUUGUUCCUAAAGUAAUUGUUCUCUUAAUUAAGAUGCAAAGUGAUUCUAGUAACUUGUCCUUCAUCUAAAUUCCUCAAAGAACAUGAGACCAUCAGCUCUUUUUGCUCCAUGGCUCUAGCAUAAGGGUGAAUUUAAUUUCUAUUUAUGCUUCAAUGAUUUUGUUACUAGGAUAAACAUACUCCUUUGCAAACUUUGUACUCUGUUUCCUAUUGCAACAGAGUUGGUAGUUACUGAUUCAACAUUUUCAAUCAUUUCCAGCUACUAUGA